CAGUCGCCGCGGGAAUACGUAGGUCCCGAGCGUUGUCCGGAUUUAUUGGGCGUAAAGCGAGCGCAGGCGGUUUGAUAAGUCUGAAGUUAAAGGCUGUGGCUCAACCAUAGUUCGCUUUGGAAACUGUCAAACUUGAGUGCAGAAGGGGAGAGUGGAAUUCCAUGUGUAGCGGUGAAAUGCGUAGAUAUAUGGAGGAACACCGGUGGCGAAAGCGGCUCUCUGGUCUGUAACUGACGCUGAGGCUCGAAAGCGUGGGGAGCGAACAGGAUUAGAUACCCGCGUAGUCCCUGUCUCUUAUAAA
rnacentral:rRNA from 1 species